AUAGUGAUCAAUUAAACUGAUCUCCUAGUAAAAAAGCUAGAAUUACAACAUAAGACCAGAAGACCCUGUGAAGCUUAAAUAAAACUAUUAAACCAUAUAAUAGCUACUUUCGGUUGGGGCGACCUUGGAAAAAAAAAGAACUUCCAAAUAAAAUGAAUAUACCUCAUUAUCUAAACAGGCCAACAAGCCAAAAACGACCCAGCACAGCUGAUAAUUGAACCAAGUUACUCCAGGGAUAACAGCGCAAUCUUCUUCAAGAGCCCAUAUCAAAAAGAAGGUUUACGACCUCGAUGUUGGAUCAGGACAUCCUAAUGGUGCAGCCGCUAUUAAGGGUUCGUUUGUUCAACGAUUAAUA
rnacentral:rRNA from 1 species